rnacentral:rRNA from 1 species
GAUGAACGCUGGCGGCGUGCCUAAUACAUGCAAGUCGAGCGAACAGAUAAGGAGCUUGCUCCUUUGACGUUAGCGGCGGACGGGUGAGUUACACGUGGAUAACCUACCUAUAAGACUGGGAUAACUUCGGGAAACCGGAGCUAAUACCGGAUAACAUAUUGAACCGCAUGGUUCAAUAGUGAAGGGCGGCUUUGCUGUCACUUAUAGAUGGAUCCGCGCCGUAUUAGCUAGUUGGUAAGGUAACGGCUUACCAAGGCAACGAUACGUAGCCGACCUGAGAGGGUGAUCGGCCACACUGGAACUGAGACACGGUCCAGACUCCUACGGGAGGCAGCAGUAGGGAAUCUUCCGCAAUGGGCGAAAGCCUGACGGAGCAACGCCGCGUGAGUGAUGAAGGUCUUCGGAUCGUAAAACUCUGUUAUCAGGGAAGAACAAAUGUGUAAGUAACUGUGCACAUCUUGACGGUACCUGAUCAGAAAGCCACGGCUAACUACGUG